AGAGUUUGAUCCUGGCUCAGGACGAACUCUGGCGGCGUGCCUAACACAUGCAAGUCGAACGGGUCUAAAGAGCUUGCUUUUUAGAUUAGUGGCGGACGGGUGAGUAACGCGUAAGAAGCUGUCCGAUGCAGGGGGACAACAGACGGAAACAUCUGCUAAUACCCCAUAAGCCUAAGGGUAAAAGAGAUAUCGGCAUCGGAGGUGCUUGCGUCCUAUCAGCUAGUAGGGGCGGUAAAAGCGCACCUAGGCGAAGACGGGUAGCCGGACUGAGAGGUUGACCGGCCACAUUGGAACUGAGACACGGUCCAGACUCCUACGGGAGGCAGCAGUGGGGAAUAUUGGACAAUGGGGGGAACCCUGACCCAGCGACGCCGCGUGAGUGAAGAAAUCCCUCGGGAUGUAAAGCUCUGUUGUAUGGGACGAGAGAGAGACGGUACCAUACGAGGAAGCCCCGGCAAACUACGUGCCAGCAGCCGCGGUAAUACGUAGGGGGCGAGCGUUGUCCGGAAUUACUGGGCGUAAAGCGCACGCAGGCUGAUUGUUAAGUCAGAUGUAAAAUAGUGAGGCUCAACUUCAUUAUGCGUCUGAUACUGGCAGUCUAGAGUAUGUGAGAGGGAAGCGGAAUUCCUGGUGUAGCGGUGAAAUGCGUAGAUAUCAGGAGGAACACCGGUGGCGAAGGCGGCUUCCUGGCACAAGACUGACGCUCAUGUGCGAAAGCCAGGGCAGCGAACGGGAUUAGGUACCCCGGUAGUCCUGGCCGUAAACGAUGGAUACUAGGUGUGGGUGUCGGAGGGCAUCCGUGCCGGAGUUAACGCGAUAAGUAUCCCGCCUGGGAACUACGGCCGCAAGGCUGAAACUCAAAGGAAUUGACGGGGGCCCGCACAAGCGGUGGAGCACGUGGUUUAAUUCGAUGCAAACCGAAGAACCUUACCUGGAUUUGACAUACAUGUGGUAGUGAAGUGAAAGUGGAACGACCUUAGCUUGCUAAGGAGCAUGAACAGGUGCUGCAUGGUUGUCGUCAGCUCGUGUCGUGAGAUGUUGGGUUAAGUCCCGCAACGAGCGCAGCCCUUACGGUCAGUUGCUACAUUAAGUUGAGCACUCUGGCUGGACUGCCGUUGACAAAACGGAGGAAGGUGGGGAUGACGUCAAAUCAUCAUGCCCCUUACGUUCUGGGCUACACACGUACUACAAUGGCGCAAACAAAGGGGAGCGAAACCGCGAGGUGGAGCAAAUCUCAAAAAAGGCGUCCCAGUUCAGACUGCAGGCUGCAACUCGCCUGCACGAAGUUGGAAUUGCUAGUAAUCGCGGAUCAGCAUGCCGCGGUGAAUACGUUCCCGGGCUUUGCACACACCGCCCGUCA
rnacentral:rRNA from 1 species